UACGAAGGGGGCUAGCGUUGUUCGGAUUACUGGGCGUAAAGCGCACGUAGGCGGAUCGUUAAGGUCGGGGGUGAAAUCCUGGAGCUCAACUCCAGAACUGCCUUCGAUACUGGCGAUCUUGAGUCCGGAAGAGGUGAGUGGAACUCCUAGUGUAGAGGUGGAAUUCGUAGAUAUUAGGAAGAACACCAGUGGCGAAGGCGGCUCACUGGUCCGGUACUGACGCUGAGGUGCGAAAGCGGUGGGAGCAAACAGGG
rnacentral:rRNA from 1 species